UUUACAAACAAAGAGUGAGACAGUAUGUAAAAUGGAGGACUUUUUUGCUGAAAAUGCUUAAUAUUCUGAGCUUAUGGGUUGUUGUGGGUUUGUGUUGUGACUUUGUUGGAGUUUUUCCUUUGAGAGGGUCAGGCAGUGUUUUAUAACCAGGAAUUCAUCCAGCAGAGUGUGGCUUGAGUUACUUAUUAUUUAUUUCCAGUCUGAUCCAAACACAGUCCUGCUGCUGCUUGGUUUUCCUGUUUUUGUGGACAGUGCACACCAUAAGCCAAAGUUCUCUUAUGGACUUUUUCUUUCUUUCUUUCUUUCUUUUCUUCUUUCUUUCUUUCUUUCUGAGCUGCAGGAAUUCUCUAGGCUAUCGUUGGUAAGAACUACAAGGUUUUGGUAAAGAGGAAAUACUUUGAUCUGGAGACAAACCUUCAAAUUCUUGUGGUUUGGCUGUUCCUUCUUGUGAAUCUAGUUGUUACAGGGGCACAUUUGGGUCAAGAGGAGGUGGAGAAUAAUUAACGACUAUACUUUCCAUUUCUAAUCAUUGCUUUUAAAGGGUUAGUUCACCCAAAAAUUAAAUUUCUGUAAUUAAUUGCUCACCCUCAUGUCGUUCCACACCCGUAAGACCUUCGUUCAUCUUCGGAACACAAAUUAAGAUAUUUUUUAUGAAAUCUGAGAGGUAUAUGACUCGUCCUAGAAAUUUAAGAGAAUGACAUUCUCGUCGCUUCAUAAAAUUAAGGUUGAACAACUGCAGUCACGUCGACUGUUUUAACGAUGUCUUUAGUAUCUUUCUGGACCUUGAAAGUGUUGAUUAUAUUGCUGUCUAUGGAUGAGUCAGAUACCUCUCGGAUUUUAUCAAAAAUAUCUUCAUUUGUGUUCUGAAGAUGAACGAAGAUCUUACAAGUGUGGAACAACAUGAGGGUGAGUAAUUAAUGACAGAAUUUUCAUUUUUGGGUGAACUAACCCUUUAAUGCAUCUGGUCAAUUGGUGUUUGUCUUUUUAAAAUGGAUAGAAUUUAUUGAUCUAAAAAAAAAUAAGAUAAAAAUAAAUAACACUUUAUUAGGAUGCAUGUGCAAUUUGCUGAUGAUCUCUUACAUUAUUUUCUCUGUUUUUCUGCUUAAAUGUCUGACAGUGCCAGGUUUGUCUUCUUUUAGAGGCCAAAUGUGUAAUUAAUCAUUCUUAGAGAGGCUGUAAAUCAGUGUGUGUGUGUGUGUGUCUCCGUCCCUGUACGACGCCCUUGGCCCUGAACAGUAAGAGUUUAUGUGCUGAGGUUCCAAUAUCAGCACAUGGUCUCUUACUUGUAGGGAAAAGAGUCUCUUUCGACUUCUCAUCACAUUGUUUCAAAGUAUUCACGUUGUUUUGGAAGAUCAUUUACAUUUAAUCAUUGAGAAACAAAUGAGGAAUGUCACAAGAUCAGCAUACAAGAGGCAACAAUGUUCAGAAAGUUUCUUGAGUAAGCUUGAGUAAUACAGAAGCUAGAAAAUGAUUUUUUAAAAAUGCAGAAGAAUAGAGAAAAUACUUUUUAAGAUUAAAUUUGUGUAGGAAGUAAUUUUAUUUAUUGUUGCAUGGUAAAUGAUGAAAUGUAAUGAUCAACAAGCUUUAGACUAGAUGAGUAAUACAUAUGUGUAUAUAUAUAUAUAUAUAUAUAUAUAAACAUUUUUACCUGGGCAAAACAUUAUUCAAUAAGGCUUAAAAAGUUAGAUAACAUUGGCCAAGAUCAGCAUCCAGCCCAAUUUAAUUAAUAAAACUGGCAUCAUUUAAAAUAUUAUAAGCAAAACAUGGGAUAUUGUCUUUGAAUGCUGUGAUUUUAUGUAAUUUAAUUUUCAUAUAAACAUUUCUGAAUAUAAUUUCUUUCUAUUACAAUGGCCUACAGAUUGUUUUGUGCAACUACAAUCUCUCUCCUCCAGAGGGCGACAUGUGACUGCUAUUUCUUUAGCAUUUGGGCCAUAUUCCAUUGCAAACCACAAAAAAUUUCUGCAGAUCAAAACUCAUUUAGACAAGAAAUCCCUGUUAAUUUAAUAUAUGUUAAUUACUCACUGAAUUCGCCAAAAACACCUGUCCUGCUGUCCCAGAUGGCACUGGAACCGGAAAUUGUCUGGAAAAAAGGAGCAAUCAUUGGCACUCCGCAUUAGAAUGAAUCACUUGGCCAUCAGGGUGAAUCAUCAGGAAAACAUUAGAGUGAAAUAAUUGUAUAUUCUGGUACAGUACAUGAAUCAAUUACAUCAGAAAAAAUAAUCUGUACUGAAGUGUUUAAUGUAUAUUGUGUUAAUAAUAAAGUUUUCAGUCACAAAUCAAAAAAACAUGUACAAGCAAAGAUGGAGAAAAACAUGUUUACAUUCACAUCUGCUCUUUCAAUAGAGUUUCAAAAGGAGGGAAAGAUAUAAAUAAAUAAAGUGAGACUUUGACCUAC